rnacentral:rRNA from 1 species
GUCUACGGCCAUACCACCCUGAACACGCCUGAUCUCGUCUGAUCUCGGAAGCUAAGCACGGUCGGGCUUGGUUAGUACUUGGAUGGAAGAAAAUACUUCCUCUUCAAAGAUGAAACUAGUAUAAGCA